rnacentral:tRNA from 1 species
CGACGGGAUUCAACGCGGGUGGGGAGACUUCGAACACGGGCGGCGGGUUCGACUCCCCCGCG